ensembl:lncRNA
GUUUCCUUAACAUACAAUACAAGACCACUCUCCACUUCACUCCACUACAGGGAGAUACAACAAUGAUGUUGAGAACAACAGGAAGUGUGUUGGUGGUCUUCUGGUCUCUAACAGACAGUAACAAGAACACUCUCCACUUCACUCCCACUGCUCGUAUGUGCUGUCAAGUGGAUAUGAUUCAAACCUUAAUCAAGCCAGGAUCAUAUAUGGAACUUCCUUCAAUAACAAAUAACUUCACUGCAGUGAAAAUCAUCUUAAAUGAACAGAACUUAAGUUUGAUUGUUUUGUACCACAGGCAGAUAAAACAAUGGUGUUGAGAACAACAGGAAGUGUGUUGGUGGUCUUCUGGUCUCUAACAGCUGUCUCAUAUAUCUGUCCUGAAGACACCCAACUGUCCAAUAUAUCUAUCCUGAAGACACCCAACUGUCCAAUAUAUCUGUCCUGAAGACACCCAGCUGUCCAAUAUAUCUGUCCUGAAGACACCCAACUGUCCAAUAUAUCUGUCCUGAAGACACCCAGCUGUCCAAUAUAUCUGUCCUGAAGACACCCA